rnacentral:lncRNA from 1 species
GUGCUAAGGGAUGGAGAUACAAAGAUGACUGGAACACAGUUUCUGCUCCCUAGGAGUUCUCAGUCAAGACACACAAACCCAAUUUAUCUUCAGGCUGGAAAAAGAAAAGGAAGGCCUGAUGAAAACCGUGUAUUUGGCUUUGUUUACAUUAAUGAAGUGAUUGGACAGAAAAAGUCACAAUGACUUUUUUCUUUUGUGAAAAAAAUUAUUGGGAAUGGAAUUUUGAAGUCAGGGAGACUGAAAGAGGACUCACCUAUGUCUAUCUGGAAGAUGUAUCCAAAACACCCAGGAGUUUUGUGCGCAUGUGUAUGAAGGAAGUUCAGCUAGGAAAAGCUUGCAGCCUGGGCAAUACAGCAAGACCCCAAUUCUAAAAAAUUUUUUUUUUAAUUAGCUGGGUGUGAUGGUGUGGCACCUGUGGUCCUAGCUACUCAGGAGGCUGAGGUAGGAGGAUCACUUGAGACUGGGAGGUCAAGGCCGCAGGGAGAAAUAAUAGCAUCACUGUACUCUACCUCGACCCUGCCUCG